rnacentral:rRNA from 2 species
UGGCGGCAUGCUUAACACAUGCAAGUCGAACGAGGACUGUGACUUCGGUUGCAGAGCCGAGUGGCGAACGGGUGAGUAACGCGUAGGGAUCUGCCCUAAAGUGGGGGACAACCCGAGGAAACUCGGGCUAAUACCGCAUAAUACCUUCGGGUCAAAGGCAGCUUCGGCUGUCACUUUAGGAUGAACCUGCGUCCGAUUAGCUAGUUGGUAGGGUAAAGGCCUACCCAGGCGACGAUCGGUAGCUGUUCUGAGAGGAAGAUCAGCCACACUGGGACUGAGACACGGCCAGACUCCUACGGGAGGCAGCAGUGGGGAAUAUUGGACAAUGGGGGCAACCCUGAUCCAGCAAUGCCGCGUGUGUGAAGAAGGCCUGAGGGUUGUAAAGCACUUUCAGUAGCGAGGAAAGGUUAGGUGUUAAUAGCACCUAGCUGUGACGUUAACUACAGAAGAAGCACCGGCUAACUCUGUGCCAGCAGCCGCGGUAAUACAGAGGGUGCGAGCGUUAAUCGGAAUUACUGGGCGUAAACGAGCACGUAGGUGGAUUGUCAAGUCAGAUGUGAAAGUCCCGGGCUCAACCUGGGAAUGCCAUUUGACCACUGA